UAUUUAACAACACAUACUGAUUUCCAGAUUUUCCAGAUUAUUAUGUCUCUCACAGUGGACAUGCACCUAAGAUGAAAAUUUCAGACCCCUCCAUGAUUUCUAAGUGGGAGAACUUGCAAAAUUGCAGGGUGCUCAAAUACUUAUUUUCUUCA